GCUUGUGCGAGGUCACAGUAGCAGUAACAGCGCAUUUUCCUUCAUCGGUAAACUGACUACCCCUAAAGAACGCUUGCAAAGAGACAGACCGAGACGGGGGAUACAGACGUGUCGGAAUCCUGCAGCUUCGUCAGUGGCUUGGACGUUGCAGGCAAAUUUCAUGAACAUCGUCGAAAACAAGAAAAAGUGAAAAAGUGAAAGUGAAAGUGGAAGUGAACAGAAAUGAACUUAACUUGGUGAUAUGACUUGUAGUACAUGAACGAGAGGAAUUAUGGGAAACAUUGUUUUUGUUUUGUGUAUUUUAAUUUAUAUUUAAGUUUGAAAAUAAAUGGUUAAAGGUU
rnacentral:lncRNA from 1 species